UACAUCCUGCAAACAUUAGGCACAAAACCUUAGAAAACAUUUAUUAGAAAAAAAAAUAAAACAAACAUAAAAUCAAGUCAAAGUUAAUAAGUUUACACUACUAGAUAAGUUAAACCACGAGUCCCCGGCAACGGUGCCAAAAACUUGUUAAGUCCUUAGCAAGUGUAUCAGAUCAUUAUCAAGUAAUAUAAAUGGGUAAGUCCAAGUAUCGUUUCCCAAAGGACUCUUAGGCCUUACUUUUCAUGUAAACGAAUCGCGUAAGACUUGAGAAAAGAAUUAAGUUGGUGUUUGUAUGCAAAGAACAAAAAUAAACAUGUAAAUGUAGUGAUUCAAUUGGCUUUGAAAAAAUUAUGGAUGAAUGGUGUUGUUGGGGUUUACAGUUUCAUCUUAUCCACUCUCAUAUAUCUACUCUUCUUAUUUACUUCACUUAUUUAUCCAAUUGCCAUGCAAACUUUCUAAUCUACCCUUAGCCCAAUCCCUUGGUGAAAAGAGCCUAUUAUUAAUUACCGGCUUGCUAUCCCUAGCCUCCCCUAGUAACCAAUAAUGCUAUGUGAACAGAAACAAAAUACAAUUGAUCGUCCUACCCCUAUCCCUAGGUGGUAUUAGUAUAAUUAAGGAAUUUCUCACCAGUUCAUGACAUUACCGUACGUCCCCGUAUGAAUAAAAACAAACAAC
rnacentral:lncRNA from 1 species